rnacentral:rRNA from 1 species
CAAGCGUUAUCCGGAUUUAUUGGGCGUACAGGGUGCGUAGGCGGUUGUGUAAGUUUGAGGUUAAAUCCCGGAGCUCAACUCCGGUUCGCCUUGAAAACUACAUGACUAGAAUGCAAGAGAGGUAGACGGAAUUCCAUGUGUAGCGGUAAAAUGCAUAGAUAUAUGGAAGAACACCUGUGGCGAAAGCGGUUUACNAGCUUGUUAUUGACGCUGAGGCACGAAAGCGUGGGGAGCAAAUAGGAUUAGAUACCCUAGUAGUCCACGCCGUAAACGUUGAGUACUAGGUGUCGGGGUCAUCUCGGCGCCGCAGCUAACGCAUUAAGUACUCCGCCUGAGUAGUAUGCACGCAAGUGUGAAACUCAAAGGAAUUGACGGGGACCCGCACAAGUGGUGGAGCAUGUGGUUUAAUUCGAAGCAACACGAAGAACCUUACCAGGGCUUGACAUCCAGUGCAAAGGCAUAGAGAUAUGCUGGAGGCUAACAUUGAGACAGGUGGUGCAUGGUUGUCGUCAGUUCGUGCCGUGAGGUGUUUGGUUAAGUCCAGUAACGAACGCAACCCUUAUCAUUAGUUACUAACAUUUAGUUGAGGACUCUAAUGAGACUGCUAGUGUAAGCUAGAGGAAGGUGGGGAUGACGUCAAAUCAUCAUGCCCCUUAUGUCCUGGGCUACACACGUGCUACAAUGGCUGAUACAAAGAGUCGCAAUCUCGUGAGGAGGAGCUAAUCUCACAAAAUCAGUCUCAGUUCGGAUUGAAGGCUGCAACUCGCCUUCAUGAAGCCGGAAUCACUAGUAAUCGCGAAUCAGCUAAGUCGCGGUGAAUACGUUCUCGGGUCUUGUACACACCGCCCGUCACACCAUGAGAGUUGGUAACACCAGAAGCAGGUAGCUUAACCGCAA